CAGUUUGUGACGAUCGAUUCGUGUUUGCCGCUUCCCGUAACAUGUUUUCUGCGAGAGAUGAGGAACACUGGCGAACACGAGGAGUGCAACGGAGAGUGAGAAACGUGAACGGGUUUGUGAAAUAAAUAAAAAUUCAUCUGCGUAAUAUCACAAUCUA